UAACGGCUGAACCAGCAACUUGGAAGAUCCUGUUUAUAGUUUCCAUUUCUAUUUAUUAUGAGCAAGAUAAGUAAUAUUAGAAGGGAGUAUUACUUUAGUAAUAUUAUGUAAAUGGGUUAUUUCUGAAUAGAAAAGUGAUAAUGACAAUUAUCUAUUUAGAAGUCUUGACUAAAUUACGUGCCAGCAGUCGCGGUAAUACGUAGAAGACUAGUGUUAGUCAUCUUAAUUAGGUUUAAAGGUACCUAGACGGUGAAUUAAACCCUAAAAGGGUAUUUAUUCACUAGAGUUUUAUAGGAGAAGAGAGAAUUUUUGGAGGAGAGAUAAAAUUUUUUGAUACCAAAAGGACUGAUAACGGCGAAGGCAGUCUUCUAUUUAAAACUGACGUUGAGGGACGAAGGCUUGGGGAGCAAUAAGGAUUAGAUACCCUAGUAGUCCAAGCAGAAAAUUAUGAAUGCCAUAAGUUAGAAUUAUUAAUUAUUUAAAAAAAAAAAUUAGAUAAAGUUUCAUUUAUGAGUAUUAUAAGUUAGACCUUAUGAUUUAUAACAUAAAUGAAAUCCUUUCUGACAUAUAAAUGAAAGUGUAAGCAUUCCACCUUAAGAGUAUAAUGGCAACAUUGAAACUGAAAUCAUUAGACCGUUUCUGAAACCAGUAGUGAAGU
rnacentral:rRNA from 2 species